AGAGUUUGAUCAUGGCUCAGAUUGAACGCUGGCGGCAGGCCUAACACAUGCAAGUCGAGCGGUAGCACAGAGAGCUUGCUCUCGGGUGACGAGCGGCGGACGGGUGAGUAAUGUCUGGGAAACUGCCUGAUGGAGGGGGAUAACUACUGGAAACGGUAGCUAAUACCGCAUAAUGUCGCAAGACCAAAGUGGGGGACCUUCGGGCCUCAUGCCAUCAGAUGUGCCCAGAUGGGAUUAGCUAGUAGGUGGGGUAACGGCUCACCUAGGCGACGAUCCCUAGCUGGUCUGAGAGGAUGACCAGCCACACUGGAACUGAGACACGGUCCAGACUCCUACGGGAGGCAGCAGUGGGGAAUAUUGCACAAUGGGCGCAAGCCUGAUGCAGCCAUGCCGCGUGUGUGAAGAAGGCCUUCGGGUUGUAAAGCACUUUCAGCGGGGAGGAAGGCGUUAAGGUUAAUAACCUUGGCGAUUGACGUUACCCGCAGAAGAAGCACCGGCUAACUCCGUGCCAGCAGCCGCGGUAAUACGGAGGGUGCAAGCGUUAAUCGGAAUUACUGGGCGUAAAGCGCACGCAGGCGGUCUGUCAAGUCGGAUGUGAAAUCCCCGGGCUUAACCUGGGAACUGCAUUCGAAACUGGCAGGCUAGAGUCUUGUAGAGGGGGGUAGAAUUCCAGGUGUAGCGGUGAAAUGCGUAGAGAUCUGGAGGAAUACCGGUGGCGAAGGCGGCCCCCUGGACAAAGACUGACGCUCAGGUGCGAAAGCGUGGGGAGCAAACAGGAUUAGAUACCCUGGUAGUCCACGCCGUAAACGAUGUCGAUUUGGAGGUUGUGCCCUUGAGGCGUGGCUUCCGGAGCUAACGCGUUAAAUCGACCGCCUGGGGAGUACGGCCGCAAGGUUAAAACUCAAAUGAAUUGACGGGGGCCCGCACAAGCGGUGGAGCAUGUGGUUUAAUUCGAUGCAACGCGAAGAACCUUACCUGGUCUUGACAUCCACAGAACUUUCCAGAGAUGGAUUGGUGCCUUCGGGAACUGUGAGACAGGUGCUGCAUGGCUGUCGUCAGCUCGUGUUGUGAAAUGUUGGGUUAAGUCCCGCAACGAGCGCAACCCUUAUCCUUUGUUGCCAGCGGUUAGGCCGGGAACUCAAAGGAGACUGCCAGUGAUAAACUGGAGGAAGGUGGGGAUGACGUCAAGUCAUCAUGGCCCUUACGACCAGGGCUACACACGUGCUACAAUGGCAUAUACAAAGAGAAGCGACCUCGCGAGAGCAAGCGGACCUCAUAAAGUAUGUCGUAGUCCGGAUUGGAGUCUGCAACUCGACUCCAUGAAGUCGGAAUCGCUAGUAAUCGUAGAUCAGAAUGCUACGGUGAAUACGUUCCCGGGCCUUGUACACACCGCCCGUCACACCAUGGGAGUGGGUUGCAAAAGAAGUAGGUAGCUUAACCUUCGGGAGGGCGCUUACCACUUUGUGAUUCAUGACUGGGGUGAAGUCGUAACAAGGUAACCGUAGGGGAACCUGCGGUUGGAUCACCU
rnacentral:rRNA from 5 species